AUACGGAUUAUCCCUCUGUAAUAUCCGUAUGUAAUUAAUAAAAAAUAAAAAAUAAGUAAUAUACAAUCUGCUUUUGGAAACAUUGUCGCACUUUUCUCCCUCGAGCCACUUUGUCCCCCUUCUCGAGCCCUUUUUCCCCUUCUCUCAAGCCCUAUUUUCUCAUUGCAACCAUCUGUCACCGUCAUUCUCCCUCUCUGAUUCACACUCGUUGUCGUCAACCCGUCAUUCUCCCUCGGCGAACCUUCUUCUCCCUCAGCGAACCUUCUCCCUCGGCGAACUUUGUUCUUCAUCUUCUAGCCAUUCUGUGUUAGUGGAACUCUAAUUGUGUUCAGCCGAAGGAGAACUCUAAUUGUGUUAGGGGAACCCUCACAAUCGCAGCGUGGUUGUUUUGGCGAUCUGUUAGUGUUCGUUGUUGUGAAGUUCUUCAAUUGUGAAGAUACAGAGGGCUUUGAAAGGAGGAGCUGUCUGCAAAGUUGUUGGAAUUUUUGGAGUCUCCACACGCUACAACUGACAUUCUACUUGCUGAUAUAGAGCAGGUUUGUUCUUUAUACAUUGUUUUAGCCAAUUAACCCU